ensembl:lncRNA LINC03009 long intergenic non-protein coding RNA 3009
GUCAUCGCUUGCUCUGGUUCCCAGGCUUUGGCCUCUAGUGGACGAGAAUCACCGAGUCUGCGGGGCUAGACGCUGACCGCCCGGGCCAGCACCUAGGCGGGCGGGAGCUGUGCGGCCCAGGGUUCGCGCGGGCCGGGUAGAGGCUCGAGCCAGGACCCCCGAGCGUGAACCCCGGAGCCGGCGGCGCUGGGGCCAGAGGGGCCGGGCGGGAGGUGAUGGCGGAGGCGAAGGGGCGACGGGACCUGGGCCUGGCCCGUGUGUGUCCUCAGAGGCCUGGCGCCGGCCGUCGCUGUACGGUGAGCCCCAGGGAGGCGGAUCUGGGCCCCGAGAAGGACACCCACCUGGAUUUGCCCCAUAGGCCCGGCCCGGGCCCCUCGGGAGCAGAACAGCCUUGGUGAGGUGGACAGGAGGGGACCUCGUGAGCAGACGCGUGCGCCAGCGACAGCAGCCCGCCCCGGCCUCUCAGGAGCCGUGGGGCAGAGGCUGCGGAGCCCCAGGAGGGCCGGAGCCCUCAUGACUUCAGUGACCUGCUUCUGCCCCUCUAGGUCUAUCAGCCACAGUCUCUGCAAGUUUCCAAGAGCAGCAGAAAAUGAACACAUUGCAGUCAUGUUGUCAUAGGAACAACUGGAGAAGAAUAAAGUGGACACGAAAAGGGAGAGUAUUCUUCCAACGAUAAUACUCACAUCGCAGAACGCGAAAAUCUUCUGUCAGGAGGGGCGAUCCUCAGAGUCACUGGGCUACACACCAUCCUGGAGUUGCGAGGGGACAGCACAGCCUUCUUGUGAUAACCAUUCCAGCACACUGUGGGAAGUACCCCCGGACAGGAAUACUGGGCCUGAUGGAUCGGAUAGCGUCUUCGAGGUGUUAUUACAAACCGAUCUGGUAAAGUCCCACGAUCCCUGCAGAGAAUGCGAGACAAAUCAUGGAAACAAAGUAUAAAAGAAUGUCAAAAUUUUAGACGG